AAAAUAUUCUUAUCAAUUUUUAAUUUAAUUUUUUUUGCCCAAGCGCUCGUGCGAGAAGACGACUCUGGAAGCUCCGAGAAGUCCCUGAAUCAGAAAGCCAGAUUAGGGAAGUGCUGUUGGUCUUGUUCGCGAUUUUCUCUCAACUGUUACAGGGAACUUUCAUUUUUCCGAACACAGUUUUUGGUGAGAGGAUUUUCUCUUGAAACAUGAUAUCAUAUAAAUCAACUGCAUCUUUCUGGGGUGGUGGAUAGAAGAUCGGGAGGAAUGCCAGACUUGUACAUGUGUGAGCUUGAAGAUAAUGUGUGGGAUGAAUUUGGUGAGAGUGACGAUCAUAUAGUGCCUCAUCAUGGCAAUGAAUGUGAGGAUCAAAUUGCUGUACAGGGUGAUAGCUGUAAGAAGCCACAAGGUGUAGGAAUUGGUGUUACAAGUAAUGCUGCCAAUAAAACUAAAUAUGGUACACGAGGCAAGGAGGAAAGGGGUUCACCAAUAUUGACCAAGAAAGACACGAUGUUGGAAAAGGAUUCAUGGUCUCAAGCACCUGAUGACAUGUUUCCUUCUUCAUGUGAUGGCGACUCGCUUAAUGGAGUAACAAUUGCGGAAUCUGAUGCCACGAGGAUGCCCAACCAUUGUUUAAAAAGUGGGAAGAUAGAUUCUGGUGGCAGUGAGUUUUGUGUGGAUGAUUCUAUCUUGGGUGAGAAGUGUGCUGCAGUUGAGAACAACUUGUACCGUUAUCCACUCAGUAACAUAUCCCAAACAGAUAAUGAUCUCAGUUUUUUGGACAAUGAACCUGAAGGCGAAGAAAGCAAUGAUCUCUUAUCCAGUUGGUGGCCGAAUAUAGAAAAUUUUGAGGAUGUUGACAGGAUGUUUAGAAGUUGUGAUUCAAGUUUUGGGCUAGGGUCACUUAGUAAUGAAGACGAUUUGUGCUGGUUCUCAUCUUCACAUGCUGCUGAAGUAUCCGAAGAUGCAUUGAAAUCUGACAAGUUUAUAGGUCAUGAGGCAAGUGUGUUCAAAAGUAUUUCAGAAUGUGAUGAAACGUCCAGUCCAAAACGUGCAUGUCUUCCAAUCAAUUAUCCCAACAAGAAAAGUGUUUCUAUACGUGGUGAAAUGAAUUCUUAUACUUCACAUAUUGAUGACCCUGCUUCCCUUGGUCAGUUAUCAUUUGUGAAUGGGUCUGAUAUGAAAACUGAGCACUGGGAGGACUUAAUGCCUAAAGAACAGAUGAAUAUGCAUAGAAAGAAGUCCAAGAACCAGAGCCAAAUGGAAAGAAAAAGGAAAGAUCGAUAUCUGGAAAAUGGUGGCUCUUUUCACUAUUAUGGUAAACAUGCGGAUCUGGGUCAUCACUAUGGAGACUCAUUGUGUGAAGUUUUUUCUUCCCCAGGAAAUCAUCAACAUAAACAAGAUGUAGGACCUGAUACUUUGUGUUAUAUUCGAACACAGAUACCCUGUAUGCACCUGGAAUGUAGUCAUCCUUCAGAUACAGUUUCAGUUUUUCCAGCUCCAUUAGGUAACAAAUCUGAAAACAGUGGCCAUGCAUAUUCUCCUAAGGAGUCUUCCUAUGCAUCAAAUCCAGUCCAGUCCAUGGAGAGCUCUCAUUGCCCUUCAUUUGAGGUUCCAGCAAAAACAGUCAACGAAAAGAGAGACCAGCUAUGCCAGGAUUUACAAACUCCUACGGCUGGGAAGUUUAAAAAUGUCAAAAUGUCUGCUCCGAUGGAAUCUUGUCAUCCUGUUUCAGCUCAUAAGCAAGUUCAGCACUCUGAAAAUGAGGUUGAAGUUCAUAGUGAAAUCGAAGGAGUUAGUGUAGGAAUUCCAACAGACUUGGAUUCUUCAAAUGUACAGGAGAGCUCUUGCAUGAGCUCUGUGGUGGAUGAAAUCUCACUAGAAGCAACUAAUUUUCGCCAGCUUCAACAAGUGAUGGAAAAGUUGGAUAUCAGGACUAAACUGUGUAUAAGGGAUAGUCUGUACCGCUUGGCUAGGAGUGCUGAACAAAGGCAUAAUUGUGCAAAUUUGAUUAGUGGCAAUGGAGAUGGCAGAGAUGCAAGUAGAGCAGUGAUGUUUCAAGAAACUAACAAGUGCACUGGAUUAGUGGAUAUGGAAACCGGUACCAAUCCCAUAGAUCGCUCUAUAGCACACCUACUGUUUCACAGGCCCUCGGAUGCAUCCCUAAUGCCUACUAACAAUGCUGUCUCUCUUAGGUCUCAAGGCUCGAUUCAUGGGUCUGAUAAUAGUCCACCUGUGAUGGCUGAAACACAAGUUUUCCAGGAAGAUAGCGUUGCCAGUGCACAUAAAAAAUGCUGAUGACGGACAGCAAAUAAGGAAAAAAAAAAUGACCCCUUCUUCUUGGGCUCAUUGCUACCAUCAUCGGGUGGGCGAUCGCCACAAACUGGGCAGACCAUUCCUCUUGCAUUUGAAGUGCAUGCAUGGACAUCUUUGGUCUUCAAAGAUGAGCACCUGCAUGCAACACAAGGAUUUCUUUGAUCCUUAAGAGAGGAAAAUUAUGAACUGACACGAAGUGGGAGCUUAAGACAUCAGGAGAUUCUAUCUUUAGAGUUGUAUCAGUACAGAGACUAAGACCCAGUACAAACAACUGCUCAGUGUUGCCAAAAUAAAAUCUUCUUCGCUACAUAUUU